UACGUAGGGUGCAAGCGUUGCCCGGAUUUAUUGGGCGUAAAGGGCGCGUAGGCGGCCCCGGCGCGUCCGCGGUGAAAGCUCCCGGCUCAACUGGGAGAGGUCCGCGGAAACGGUCGGGCUGGAGCAAGGUAGGGGGUCGUGGAAUUCCCGGUGUAGUGGUGGAAUGCGCAGAUAUCAGGAGGAACACCAAGUGGCGAAAG
rnacentral:rRNA from 1 species